rnacentral:rRNA from 1 species
GAGUUUGAUCCUGGCUCAGGAUGAACGCUAGCGGCAGGCUUAAUACAUGCAAGUCGGACGGCAGCACGGGUAGCAAUACCUGGUGGCGAGUGGCGCACGGGUGCGUAACGCGUAUGCAACCUACCCUUGACCGGGACAUAACCUGGAGAAAUUCGGGCUAAUAUCCCAUAAUAUAUAGAGUGGGCAUCUACUUUAUAUUAAAGCAGCGAUGUGGUGAAGGAUGGGCAUGCGUCCCAUUAGCUAGUUGGUGAGGUAACGGCUCACCAAGGCGACGAUGGGUAGGGGUUCUGAGAGGAAGGUCCCCCACACUGGUACUGAGACACGGACCAGACUCCUACGGGAGGCAGCAGUAAGGAAUAUUGGGCAAUGGUCGGAAGACUGACCCAGCCAUGCCGCGCGCAGGAAGACGGCCCUAUGGGUUGUAAACUGCUUUUGGCCGGGGAUAAACCUCUCGACGUGUCGGGAGUUGAAGGUACCGGUCGAAUAAGCAUCGGCUAACUCCGUGCCAGCAGCCGCGGUAAUACGGAGGAUGCAAGCGUUAUCCGGAUUCACUGGGUUUAAAGG